CUAAUAAGCAGUAGCAUAGCUGAUCCUCCGUGCAUCGCCCAUGUGCUACGGUAAGGGUCUCACUCUAAGUGGGCUACACUGGCUAAUCUCCGUCUGAGGUUAGUUGGAAGAGCUUAAUCAGACUAGCUGAAUGGAAGCCUGUUACCGGGCCGAUGUUUAUGCGAAAUGCUAAUACGGUGACUACGCUCGUAGAUAUUUAAGUGCCGAUAUUUCUGGACGUGGGUUCGACUCCCACCAUCUCCAUAU
rnacentral:tmRNA from 1 species